rnacentral:piRNA from 1 species
UGCUUGAUUUAGUUUGAUUUA